GUUAGGAAUAUUGGACAAUGGGCGCAAGCCUGAUCCAGCCAUGCCGCGUGAGUGAUGAAGGCCUUCGGGUUGUAAAGCUCUUUAGUCCACGAAUAUAAUGACUGUAGUGGAAGAAUAAGCCCCGGCUAACUUCGUGCCAGCAGCCGCGGUAAUACGAAGGGGGCGAGCGUUAUUCGGAAUCACUGGGCGUAAAGCGUGCGUAGGCUGUUUUGUAAGUCAGAAGUGAAAGCCCAGGGCUUAACCCUGGAAUUGCUUUUGAAACUACAAGACUCGAAUUCGGGAGAGAAUAGCGGAAUUGUCAGUGUAGCAGUGAAAAGCGUAGAUAUUGACAGGAACACCAGUGGCGCAAGCGGCUAUCGGGACCGAUAUUGACGCUGAGGCACGAAAGCGUGGGGAGCAAACAGGAUUAGAAACCCCGGUAGUCC
rnacentral:rRNA from 1 species